rnacentral:rRNA from 2 species
UGAGACUUUAAGUCUCCUGAAGGAACGUUAAAGACGAUGACGUUGAUAGGCCGGGUGUGUAAGCGCAGCGAUGCGUUGAGCUAACCGGUACUAAUGAACCGUGAGGCUUAACCUU